rnacentral:tRNA from 1 species
GGGCGAGUGGCGGAAUUGGUAGACGCGGCGGACUUAAAAUUCGCUGUCCCUCACCGGACUUGAGGGUUCGAGUCCCUCCUUGCCCA